rnacentral:rRNA from 1 species
UACGUAGGGACCGAGCGUUGUCCGGAAUCAUUGGGCGUAAAGAGCGUGUAGGCGGCUAUUUAAGUCCUGCGUGAAAUCCUGCGGCUCAACCGCAGACGGUCGUGGGAAACUGGAUGGCUAGAGUGCGGGAGAGGAGAGUGGAAUUCCCGGUGUAGCGGUGAAAUGCGCAGAUAUCGGGAAGAACACCCGUGGCGAAGGCGGCUCUCUGGAACGCAACUGACGCUGAGACGCGAAAGCCAGGGGAGCGAACGGG